AGUACAAGAUGGAGAUGAUCCUCCAAAGAUGCCUUUCACAAAAAAGCCUCACUUUCUGCAGACAACCUCAUCGUUUUGGACCAGAGAUACUUCUAACCUUGAAGGAAAAGACAGACUGUGGGCACAGAUUGGGAAUUGGAAGACUCUCAAGAUAAAACAGAAUUGUCAUGUGGAGGUCACCCACUGCUUUGUACUGUUAGACACUGGCAGUGAAGUAUCGUAGUCUGUUGCUGUAAACAUCCCCGACUGGAAGCUGUAGCAGCUCUAGCUUUCAGUCAGAUGUUUGCUGCACCCGGCUACUCUUGAGCAACGUCUGACAGAAAAGGUGCUGUAUCGACAUGUGCGUAGAUACGUAGCUCUUAGUUUCUGUAGACACAGCCGAGCUGCCUUCAAGCAAGUUACCCUGGUUGUUGUUAAUAGUGCUGCUAUGAUCCAUUGAAACCUAAUCUGUUAAAAAUGGAGAUGCAAAGUUACAGCACUUGUGUCACUCAGAAGUGAGUCUCUGCUGUGUUGCGGUGCGAGCUAGGAAUUACACCUCACUGGAAUGUAACAGCAACGGGGGCUUAAUUUCAUGUACAGCUAUCCAUAAACCAGACUUCUAUAAAUUAUCUGUCUUAACAGCUUCUGUUACUUAUGACUCUUACGAAAAAAUAAUAUGCUGUCAAGUACUUAGCAGGCAUUUCAUCGGAUGUGCCUUGCUUCUUGUUGUUACUGAAGUUCCAUGUUCUGGGUCUCCUAUGAGUGGGUGGUGCUCUUAUCGUUUGUAAGCUGGAUGUAAAGGCCGAAAUAAAGGUUUAAAAAAAAGAACACGGGAUGUAUUUUUGUAGUAACAAUGCAUAACAUAUACACUUUUGUGGCAUGGUCAUCUUGGUUUCGGCUACCCUCACCACCACAUUUCCAAAGGAUUAUUCUUCACAUAAAAAACAGAUCUUGAAAGUGCUUCAUAAUUAACUCUUCACUAGUUGUUGAGUUAAAGCAAUCAUUUCAAGAAGAACAACUCUGCAAAACAGCUUCAGCACUCUUCACUUUUCUCUCCACUAGGAAGUGAGACCUUCAAAUGCUGUUUCCUAGAUUUUGUCUGGGAUUUUCCUCCUUUGUUUCUCUUUAGUCCCUUACUUGUAACAGAUGGGGAGGGGAAUUGCAUGUACAAGUAAACUCUGCUGUUCAGGUAGGAAGUAUUCUUGUUCUGCUUUAGUUCUACAUUCCCCCACCUCUGAAAAAUAUUAACUUGAUAUUCCUUGACACGUGAAAGGCAAACUUCAUUCAGUUGUUUGAUGGGUAUUAUUCUAGUGAUCAUAGAAUAGCUUGGGUAUUGUUUAAUUUCAGCAUAGGGAUUCUGAAGAAGAUUACAUCCAAAGGCACAAACACUUU